rnacentral:rRNA from 1 species
UACGGAGGAUCCAAGCGUUAUCCGGAUUCAUUGGGCUUAAAGGGUGCGUAGGCGGAAUAAUAAGUCAGUGGUGAAAGCCCUCAGCUUAACUGAGGAACUGCCAUUGAUACUGUUAAUCUUGAGUACAUUUGAUGUGGGCGGAAUGUGUCAUGUAGCGGUGAAAUGCUUAGAUAUGACACAGAACACCGAUUGCGAAGGCAGCUCACAAAACUGUAACUGACGCUGAGGCACGAAAGCGUGGGUAUCAAACAGG